GAAGCACACAAGUUGGCCAAAACAGGUUUCUGUAUAAACAAUACAGCAGAAGCAGAGGGAAAAGGAACUUCAAGAUGUAACUAAAUAAAGACAGAGGCAGAGUUGUUUUCCACGUCCUCCUUGGAU